GAUGAACGCUGGCGGCGUGCCUAAUACAUGCAAGUCGAGCGAACGGACGAGAAGCUUGCUUUUCUGAUGUUAGCGGCGGACGGGUGAGUAACACGUGGAUAACCUACCUAUAAGACUGGGAUAACUUCGGGAAACCGGGGCUAAUACCGGAUAAUAUUUUGAACCGCAUGGUUCAAAAGUGAAAGACGGUCUUGCUGUCACUUAUAGAUGGAUCCGCGCUGCAUUAGCUAGUUGGUAAGGUAACGGCUUACCAAGGCAACGAUGCAUAGCCGACCUGAGAGGGUGAUCGGCCACACUGGAACUGAGACACGGUCCAGACUACUACGGGAGGCAGCAGUAGGGAAUCUUCCGCAAUGGGCGAAAGCCUGACGGAGCAACGCCGCGUGAGUGAUGAAGGUCUUCGGAUCGUAAAACUCUGUUAUUAGGGAAGAACAUAUGUGUAAGUAACUGUGCACAUCUUGACGGUACCUAAUCAGAAAGCAACGGCUAACUACGUG
rnacentral:rRNA from 1 species